GCCAUGGCUGCUUUCCUCCACCUACCCUUUCCUUUGGUUUUCAGGCCCCAGGAGGAUGGGUCAUCCUGCUAUCACCAGAUCCUAAGUUAGAAGGGCACUGUUUCAUGUAUACCUACACCUCUGUAAAAGGUCCUUUAUUAAACCACUCAUGUUGCCCACUGUGGUGUGCCAGCUGCUUCCUCUAGGAACUAGCUCACUAUCUCUAGUUUCAAAAUCUGGCCAGAAGCAUGAAGACUAAGCUCACCAUUGAAAAUAAAAGGAAGAGACUCUGUUUCCCUGUUGGCUAA